rnacentral:rRNA from 1 species
UACCAGCACCCCGAGUGGUCGGGACGAUUAUUGGGCCUAAAGCAUCCGUAGCCGGUUCUACAAGUCUUCCGUUAAAUCCACCUGCUUAACAGAUGGGCUGCGGAGGAUACUAUAGAGCUAGGAGGCGGGAGAGGCAAGCGGUACUUAGUGGGUAGGGGUAAAAUCCGUUGAUCCAUUGAAGACCACCAGUGGCGAAGGCGGCUUGCCAGAACGCACUCGACGGUGAGGG